GCACCCGUAGCUCAGCUGGAUAGAGCGCAAGCUUGCGGAGCUUGAGGUCGUACGUUCGAAUCGUAUCGGGUGUACCA
rnacentral:tRNA from 1 species